GGCUCGUUGGUCGAUGAAGGUCGAGGAAACUGCGAGUCUUUAUGUGAAUUGCAGGACAGAUGAACAUCCGACACUUUGAACACACAUUGAUUAUGGCUCCGAGGUUCUAUCCAAGGGCCACGCCUACCUAAAGGUCG
rnacentral:rRNA from 1 species